AUUUCCAUUCCUUAUAUGCAAAUGAACGGGGCGUGGUUAGCUCACAGGUCCAGAGACCCAGACCAAAGCAACAGCACCACACUGACUACUCGAGAAGAGGAAGAAAAUGGAGGAGAAGGACUAUAAGGCAAACUACUAAAUGAAAAUAACAACAUGGAAGACGUCGGUGGGCUCCAAGACUUAACUGGUUCUUAUCUGGUCUUAUCUGGUCUUAUCUGGUCCGCCCAAUGCUGCUCUUCUGAGAGCAACCGCUCUGACAGCUCUCUCUAGUCUCUACUGGGAAACAGCUAAAAGUCCUUCUGGAGGUAAGCAACGCUACACAAUUACACCCAGUCUGAGAGUAAAAUAUGUCUCGAAGGCUUUGCAUUUGAACUCCUAUGACUGGUUGCGGACUUGAAGGGAACGCCUUCCUGACAUCCAGGAAAAAGGUGAGAUUAUAAUACAUUUGAAUGCCAAAAGCAAGUUAUUGUUUUUAACUUUUGAAAUAUGAUUGUUUUGGGGCAUUUCAGUUUUAUUGGACAGGCAGUGGAGAUCUACUGGAAACAGUGGAGAGGGAGGAGAUGAUAUGCAGCAUACGGCCCAGCCGGAUGGUUGCUGCUCCGUGUGGAACGUGUCCUAUCAGGUGUAACAUCUACCAAUGGUUGUACAUGACAGAGACCUCCUCCACCUCUUUGCUGUCUUACUAGUCAAUCCUUCUGAUCAGGUCCUUUCCUAAAUAGUGAAAGGAUCAUGCCAGCCCACAUCAAACACCUGAUCAAGAGCUUGUGAACCUCACUGCUGCAGACACCUGUGUGAUAUUCCACUCUGACUGGAACCCUCAAAAUGACCUGCAGGCUCAAGCUCGGUUCGUCAUCGUUUUGGCCAGUCUAAGGCGGUGGAGGUGUACCGUCUGAUCACUAGAGACUAUGAGAGGGAAAUGCUGGAUAAAGCUAGUCUGAAGCUCGGGCUGGACCGUCCCGUCCUGCAGAGCAUGAGUGGCAACAACAACGGGCCGGUCCAGCAGUUCUCCAAGAAGGAGAUCGAGGACCUGCUGAGGAAAGGAGCCUACGCCGCCAUCAUGGACGAGAACGACGAAGGCAAUCGCUUCUGCUAGGAGGACAUCGACCAGAUCCUGCAGCGAAGAGCCACCAUCAUCACCAUCACCGGUUUGCUUCAAGCAGUGGCUGCACGAGAAAGACGUGGAGGACCAAGAAAUGCUGGCCAGAUUGGCAAAGACCGGAAGAUACAUAACAGAGAAGAUAAUGGAUAUUAACAAGAGAAAGAAAAAAAAAUGUUU